rnacentral:misc_RNA from 1 species
GGCAGAUAUAACCUCAAGCUUCUAAUGAAAAAUGAGAAUCGUUUUUGUCUUCCCUUAUUUAUAUAUAACUCUGGCUGGAAAAAUAUUCAUUUUACAACUCGUCGGCGUUUGUUGCAAUUGUGUUUCAAUCCAGCUUAUGCAAGUGAUGCCUAGGGAAGGCUGGUCCUCUGUUUGUUUCUAUGUCCGAAAACUGCUUGUCUUUCUCAGUCGUCUGGACCGUUAAGUGUGGUAUUAACCGUUAAGUAACAAUGAGUCAACUCGAGAACGGUAGCUAGAAGAUCCUUUCCUUUCCAGAUCGCUUUUUAUUGCGAUAAAACCCUCCAUUUGCCUCUAACAAGAGCGCGUAACAAUUCCAAAACUCUAUCUAUCUUCCCCAAACUUAUAUUUCCGGUUCUUGCCUCUGAUAACCCUUCCUUUUCUUUAUUUUUUCAAUGGAAUCAGCUGAUAAUGAAGUUGCCCACGAGUUCAGAUUCUUCAGGGUGUACAAAGAUGGUCGCAUCCACAUGUUCAUGCCAACCUGCGAAACAAUCCCACCAUAUGAUGACCGGGCCAGCGGAGUCCAAUCCAAAGAUGUGACCAUCUCAACCCAACCCUCUGUAUCUGUCCGUAUUUUCUUACCAAAACUCCAAAACCCUAAUCAGAAACUCCCUCUCUUAUUUUACAUUCAUGGAGGUGGUUUCUCCAUGAUGUCUGCCUUUUCCCCAGCCUACCACAGUUACUGUGCUGCUCUAGCUGCUGAGGCUAACGUCCUCGUUGUCUCCGUAGAGUACGGUCUCUUCCCAACCCGACCCAUACCCGCAUGCUAUGAAGAUUCGUGGGCAGCGCUUCAAUGGGCGGCGUCUCAUGUGAAUCGGAAUGGACCCGAGCAGUGGUUGAAUGAUCAUGCUGAUUUUGCGCAAGUUUUUAUUGGUGGGGAUAGUGCAGGGGGUAACAUAUCGCAUACUUUGGCGUUUCGGGUCGGGACAAUCGGGUUACCAGCCGGAGUAAAGGUGGUUGGGCUGAUUUUGGUGCACCCAUAUUUUGGUGGCACUGAAGAUGAUGAAAUGUGGCUGUACAUGUGUCCAGAUAAUAGAGGUUUGGAUGAUCCAAGGAUGAACCCGUCUGUGGAGGAUAUUGGGGGGCUUGGGUGUGAGAGAGUGUUGAUUUUUGUAGCUGAGAAAGACCAUUUGAACCCUGUGGGCAAAAACUACCAUAAGAAGCUGAAGAAAAGUGGAUGGAAAGGAAGCUUUGAACUUGUUGAAAACGAAAAGGAAGAACACUGCUUCCAUAUUCGUUAUCCCAACCAUGACAAGGCAUCGGAGUUGAUGAGAAAGUUUGUUUCCUUUCUUAAACAAGAGUAAUUUGGUUCCAUUUGUAAUGUAUGAACUUCCAUUGAAUAAAACAAGGCUUGAUUUAUGAUUAAAA